UCUCUUAAGAAGCCGUGGGUGUCUUCAAAGGUCUAAGCUUUUCGAUUGAGCUUUAGGGCACCAUUAACUAUGGAAAUAAAACCAUCAGUUGCCUUGAGGGCAAUGCUUGUAGGAUCGAUAGCAGCAUGUGCAAAAAUUGCAGGCGUACUGAAGGCCGCAGGUGGUGCAAAGAUCGGGGUAGCUGCAACUGCCAUGACAGCAGCUGCUACUGCAGCUAUGUCAUCAAAGCAGGAAGAUGCUUCUAAGCAGCCUUCAAAAUGAUUUUCUUUUGCUGAUCUAGUGAGUCAAUAACGUAUGUAGCAUGGAACAAACUGGAACCAAACUGGAUUUAUUUUGGAUUUUUGCCCUCACACUCACAGUGAGGGUAUGUAUAAAACUACUGGAAUUGAAAAUAGAUAUAUAACUUUCCCUAAAACUUGUAGGGGAAAAUCAUAUUUGUCUCGCUAGAUUUUGUAUGACAUUAUAAUUUGGUCACUAAUUGAAAAGAUAUCUCCGGUUCAAUGGAGAAAAUUUGUUCGA